rnacentral:rRNA from 1 species
CGAAGGGAGCUAGCGUUGUUCGGAAUUACUGGGCGUAAAGGGCGCGUAGGCGGUUUGACAAGUUGGAUGUGAAAGCCCAGGGCUCAACCCUGGAAUUGCAUUCAAGACUGUCUUACUUGAAUUCGGUAGAGGUUGGUGGAAUUCCCAGUGUAGAGGUGAAAUUCGUAGAGAUUGGGAAGAAUAUCCGUGGCGAAGGCGGCCAACUGGACCGACAUUGACGCUGAGGCGCGAAAGCGUGGGGAUCAAACAGGAUUAGAUACCCUGGUAGUCCACGCCGUAAACGAUGUGUGCUAGACGUUGAAAGGCUUAGCCUUUUGUGUCGCAGCUAACGCAUUAAGCAACACCGCCUGGGGAGUACGGCCGCAAGGUUG